rnacentral:rRNA from 1 species
AACGAACGCUGGCGGCAUGCCUAACACAUGCAAGUCGAACGCCUGUCGCAAGACAGGAGUGGCGCACGGGUGAGUAACGCGUGGGAACCUGCCUAGUGGUAAGGAAUAACCGCGGGAAACUGCGGCUAAUACCUUAUGAGCCCUACGGGGGAAAGAUUUAUCGCCAUUAGAGGGGCCCGCGUCCGAUUAGCUAGUUGGUGAGGUAACGGCUCACCAAGGCGACGAUCGGUAGCUGGUCUGAGAGGAUGAUCAGCCACACUGGGACUGAGACACGGCCCAGACUCCUACGGGAGGCAGCAGUGGGGAGUAUUGGACAAUGGGGGCAACCCUGAUCCAGCAAUGCCGCGUGAGUGAUGAAGGCCUUAGGGUUGUAAACCUCUUUUUUCAGGGAGGAAUAAAAUGACGUGUACCUGAAGAAUAAGCAUCGGCUAACUCCGUGCCAGCAGCCGCUGUAACAC